AGAGUUUGAUCAUGGCUCAGGAUGAACGCUGGCGGCGUGCCUCAGACAUGCAAGUCGAACGAUUAAGACUCUCUUCGGAGAGUGUAUAAAGUGGCGCACGGGUGAGUAACACGUAGGUAAUGUACCGAAGGGUGGGGAAUAACUUAGGGAAACUUAAGCUAAUACCGCAUAAUGCAGCGGCUCGACAUCGAGACAGUUGUUAAAGGAGCAAUCCGCCUUUUGAGCAGCCUGCGGCAGAUUAGCUAGUUGGUAAGGUAAUGGCUUACCAAGGCUACGAUCUGUAACCGACCUGAGAGGGUGGUCGGUCACACUGACACUGAAUAACGGGUCAGACUCCUACGGGAGGCAGCAGUCGGGAAUUUUGGGCAAUGGGCGAAAGCCUGACCCAGCAACGCCGCGUGAAGGAUGAAGUAUUUCGGUAUGUAAACUUCGUAAGAAUAGGAAGAAUAAAUGACGGUACUAUUUGUAAGGUCCGGCUAACUACGUG
rnacentral:rRNA from 1 species